AAACCAGCACCUCAAGUGGUCAGGAUGAUUAUUGGGCCUAAAGCAUCCGUAGCCUGCUUUAUCAGUUUUCGGUUAAAUCCACACGCUCACCGUAUGGGCUGCCGGGAAUACUGUAAAGCUAGGGAGUGGGAGAGGUAGACGGUACUCGGGAGGAAGGGGUAAAAUCCUUUGAUCUCUCGAUGACCACCUGUGGCGAAGGCGGUCUACCAGAACACGUCCGACGGUGAGGGAUGAAAGCUGGGGGAGCAAACCGGAUUAGAAACCCCUGUAGUCC
rnacentral:rRNA from 1 species